ACACGACUCUCGGCAACGGAUAUCUAGGCUCUCGCAUCGAUGAAGAACGUAGCAAACUGCGAUACUUGGUGUGAAUUGCAGAAUCCCGUGAACCAUCGAGUCUUUGAACGCAAGUUGCGCCCGAAGCCAUUANGCCGAGGGCACGUCUGCCUGGGCGUCACGCAUCGCGU
rnacentral:rRNA from 2 species